ACUUUUUUUUUUUUUUUACACUAGCAGUCUUUUUAUAAAAUAACUCUGAUUGUAAUUACCUUGAUAAAACUUGAGACAGGAAAGGAGAGGCAGUGGGAGAUGCUGAUACCUGUAUAUCAUACACACACUAAUGUGAAAAUAAUUCUAUUUAACAGGGAUAUCACAGAUAGACAUUCGUAGCUUUUGUAGAAUUUUGUAAAUUAUUUAAAACGCUCUAAGGAAAUAUUUUUUAUAAUGAUUUUUAGGGCUUGCAUUCCUACAGGAUGCUGUAGUUACUGUAGAUAAGAUAUUGGCUAAUUACACUUUAAAUUAUGAGGCCUCUAAUUGUCUCUCAAAGGGAAACCUGUUUGCGCACAGAAUUUAUUUGGGAACCUGUUAGGACAUCCUAGGAAAGCCCUGGAUAGCAAUGCAGAUGAUGUGACAGUGGCCACACCUGAGCUGCCUCAGGACAAUCCUGUGGGGUGGGUUUUGCUUGGAGCUCAGAUUUCCCACCUGAGGACUGUGGGAUGAGGUCCCUGAGCAGAACUCGUGGCUGUGGAGAUCCAGCCUGGAAGAUACAAAUGCAAAUUCAGGUAAAUCAAGUGGAUGGCUCUGUCUGCACCUCCUGUGCAAAGGGAUCUCAGCAGCUGCUCAAAAUCCUUUUGAAUACCCAGAACCUCCUGCUAGCAGAUGAUUCCAAGCACAAUUGCAGUCCAAGACAAGUGAAGGAGUGUGUCUGUUCAGACAACAUGAUUUCCCUGGAUUUUCCUGGAUUUCUGUACUGUUGGGCCUGCAGGGCUCAAACAAUUCCUCGUUACUCUCAACUCUCUCAUUUUGAUGCCCUGCAGUAACCCAGAGAUGGCUUUUGGUUUCCUCAAUGAACUUUCUGGAGCUGAGUGCCCUUAACUUUCCAUUUUCAGAAGUGGUUUUUAAAAUGUUACAUUUCUGUGAACUUUUCACUGACAAUUUUGGUGCAAUAAAGCAAAGCUGGGUUUGCUGUAGGAAGUCACAACACAAAUGGAUUUUUUCAGCCACGGAUAUUUUCAGCACUGUUCUUUCUUCAGGCUCUUUCUCUGCCUCUGUUUCCAGCAGCCAGAAUAAAGCAAUUUUUCACUACUAUCUUUUUAUUUGUAGUGACUUUCAACGGGAUUGAAGUAGCAAUUCACAUCACACACACAAAAAAAAGUGCCCCCACACUGGUUUUGCUGCAAAUUCAAAAGAACUUCUCUCAGCCAAACCACCACUUAGCAUCACUUUGUUUCUCAGUCACUUCAGGAGUCUUCCUCCAGGCUGGCCUUAAACUUGCAAAAUGGAGCAAAAGCAGCCAAGACUGGAUCCAGAAUCCCAUGGUGUCCCUGGUGUGAUGCAGAAUGUAGGCAAAAUACGUUGUAGCAUAGAGUAGUAUCUGUGGCAUGUAGAGAAAUAAACAUCCUUGGUGUGUUUAUGCUGUGGUGCAGCUACGUUUGGAACGUGUUUCUAGUGCUCACUUGGCAUUUCUGACUGUCCAGCCACCUUUUUGUAGCCCUGGGGUCGGUUGGUCGGGUUGUUUAAAGGUCAGUGUGUUAGCUCAUCUCCAUUUUGUGGUAGGAAAAGUGUUUUUUUCCGUAGCUCAGUGCCUGCACUCCCUCUUCACAGGUUUGUCUUUUGCUCUGCCUUGAUUCCGUUGCAGGAUUUGAGCCUUUUGUUUGGAAUAGGUCAAUAGGCUGGUAUUUUAAACUAGAAGUUUUCCAAGUACCUUGCUUUAAAAGGAUUAAACUGUAUACUUAAUUUUCCUAGAGAUCUUGGAAGCACUCUGUACUGUUUGUAUAAAAAGCUGAAUGUUUCUCCUCAAAAGUUUUCAGUAAAUCCACAUUAAGAAUUCAGAGGUGUCUUGUGCCCCUGUCACUGUGUCUGUGUCCUCAGUCCCACUCGUGACCUGAUUCACUCCCAGUUAAAAUGCAAUUCCAAUUACCUUGUGCUUUAAAUAAAACCUGAUUUCAAACAGCACUUUUUUUUUUUUUUUUUUUUAAUUGAUGAACUUGAUUUGUAUAUAGGAACUGGUGUACAUUGCUGAGUUUCUAAUGUUUAAUAAAUGGGGUUCUGCCCGUGGACCGUGAAA